rnacentral:rRNA from 1 species
UGUAAGUGCAAGCCGAACUAAGGCGAAGCCGCGAAAGGCUCAUACAUCAGUUGUGGUUCCUUGGACUGUACCCAGUUACUUGGAUAACUGCGGAAAAUCUGGAGCUAAUACAUGCCGACAGAGUCCCGACCAGAGAUGGGAGGGACGCUUUUAUUAGAUCAAAACCAAAAAUCUCCCUCGGGAGAAAAGGUUUAAGGUGACUCUGAAUAACUUUGUGCCGAUCGCACGGCCUUUGCGCCGGCGACGCGUCUUUCAAAUGUCUGCCUUAUCAACUUUCGAUGGUAGGCUCUGCGCCUACCAUGGUUGUAACGGGUGACGGGGAAUCAGGGUUCGAUUCCGGAGAGGGAGCCUGAGAAACGGCUACCACAUCCAAGGAAGGCAGCAGGCGCGCAAAUUACCCACUCCCGGCUCGGGGAGGUAGUGACGAAAGAUAACGAUGCAGGACUCUUAUGAGGCCCUGUAAUCGGAAUGACUACAUUUUAAAUCUCUUAAGGAGUAUCAAUUGGAGGGCAAGUCUGGUGCCAGCAGCCGCGGUAAUUCCAGCUCCAAUAGCGUAUAUUAAAGCUGUUGCGGUUAAAAAGCUCGUAGUUGGAUCUGUGCCCCGCACCGCCGGUUCCCUCUCUGAGGCGAUUACUGGUCGUGAAGCGGGGCGUCCUGCCGGUGGGAGGUCUUGCCGGCGGCGUUACUCGCCCGCGGAAUCCCGCCCCAGGACGGUCUUCGUGUUCAGUCGGCCGGGCGACCGGUACGGCGGCGUUGUUCCCCCUGGGUGUCGGCUCCCGGCGCGAGGCGCCGUUUCGUGCGCUCCCGGUUAUCCGAUCCUGCCGAAGGUGCUCUUCACCGAGUGUCGAGGCGGGCCGGCAUGUUUACUUUGAACAAAUUAGAGUGCUUAAAGCAGGCUGGUGACGCCUGAAUGCUGUGUGCAUGGAAUAAUGGAAUAGGACCUCGGUUCUAUUUUCUUUUGGUUUUCUGAACCAGAGGUAAUGAUUAACGGAGACAGGCGGGGGCAUUCGUAUUGCGACGUUAGAGGUGAAAUUCUUGGAUCGUCGCAAGACGAACAGAAGCGAAAGCAUUUGCCAAGGAUGUUCUCGUUGAUCAAGAACGAAAGUCAGAGGUUCGAAGGCGAUCAGAUACCGCCCUAAUUCUGACCGUAAACGCUGCCAUCUGGUUAUUCGCCCACGUUACUACUUAUAUGACUGGGCGAGCAACCCUCGGGAAACCAAAGAUUUUGGGUUCCGGGGGAAGUAUGGUUGCAAAGCUGAAACUUAAAGGAAUUGACGGAAGGGCACCACCAGGAGUGGAGCCUGCGGCUUAAUUUGACUCAACACGGGAAACCUCACCAGGCCCGGACACUGGAAGGAUUGACAGAUUGAGAGCUCUUUCUUGAUUCAGUGGGUGGUGGUGCAUGGCCGUUCUUAGUUGGUGGAGCGAUUUGUCUGGUUAAUUCCGAUAACGAACGAGACUCUAGCCUGCUAACUAGUCGAUGAUUUCAAUCUGGCAUCCUUUAAUGGCUGCCGGCGAAAACAACUCUUCUUAGAGGGACAGGCGGCUCCUAGCCGCACGAGAUUGAGCAAUAACAGGUCUGUGAUGCCCUUAGAUGUUCUGGGCCGCACGCGCGCUACAAUGAAGGUAUCAACGUGUGUUCCUUGGCCGAGAGGUCCGGGUAACCCGCUGAACCACCUUCGUGCUUGGGACUGGGGCUUGAAAUUGUUCCCCAUGAACGAGGAAUUCCCAGUAAAGGCGUGUCACUAGCACGCCUUGAUUACGUCCCUGCCCUUUGUACACACCGCCCGUCGCUACUACCGAUUGAAUGAAUUAGUGAGGUCUUCGGACCAGCGCGCGGUUCUCGUCCCUCGGGACCCCCGUCGCUGCAGGGAAGAUGAUCGAACUUGUUCAUUUAGAGGAAGUAAAAGUCGUAACAAGGUUUCCGUAGGUGAACCU